rnacentral:misc_RNA from 1 species
AGGAUAGGAGAAGAUGAUGUAUAGUUUUAGAGCUAGAAAUAGCAAGUUAAAAUAAGGCUAGUCCGUUAUCAACUUGAAAAAGUGA